UACGAAGGGUGCAAGCGUUACUCGGAAUUACUGGGCGUAAAGCGUGCGUAGGUGGUUCGUUAAGUCUGAUGUGAAAGCCCUGGGCUCAACCUGGGAAUGGCAUUGGAAACUGGCGACCUAGAGUGCGGUAGAGGGUAGUGGAAUUCCCGGUGUGGCAGUGAAAUGCGUAGAGAUCGGGAGGAACAUCCGUGGCGAAGGCGACUACCUGGACCAGCACUGACACUGAGGCACGAAAGCGUGGGGAGCAAACAGG
rnacentral:rRNA from 1 species